rnacentral:lncRNA from 1 species
AGAAGGGGGAAGCCUCCAACAGACAGACAGGCUGGGUGUCUCGUUCAGAUCAGCCGACAGGGAGAUAGAGGGGGGUGAUGGACAGAGAAUGGGAAGUCCCUAACGACAGACAGGAUGGGGUCUCCGUCAGAUCAGCAGCACAGGAGAAGAGAGGGGGGGAUGAUGGAAGGACGAAGGGGAAGUCCCUAACAGACAGACAGGCUGGGGGUCUCCGUCAGAUCAGCAGACAGGAGAAGAUGGGGGGUGAUGGACAGCGACGUGAAGGAAAAGCCCCUAACAGGAACAGACCAGGCUUGGGGUCUCCGUCAGAUCAGCCAGACAGGCAGAAGAGGGGGCGGAUGGACAGAGAAGGGGAAGUCCCCUAA